rnacentral:rRNA from 2 species
UCCUCCAAGGCUAAAUACUCCUGACUGACCGAUAGUGAACCAGUACCGUGAGGGAAAGGCGAAAAGAACCCCGGCGAGGGGAGUGAAAAAGAACCUGAAACCGUGUACGUACAAGCAGUGGGAGCACCCUUUGGGGUGUGACUGCGUACCUUUUGUAUAAUGGGUCAGCGACUUAUAUUCUGUAGCAAGGUUAACCGUAUAGGGGAGCCG